CCUACGGGUGGCAGCAGUGGGGAAUAUUGCACAAUGGGGGAAACCCUGAUGCAGCGACGCCGCGUGAGUGAAGAAGUAUUUCGGUAUGUAAAGCUCUAUCAGCAGGGAAGAAAAUGACGGUACCUGAGUAAGAAGCCCCGGCUAACUACGUGCCAGCAGCCGCGGUAAUACGUAGGGGGCAAGCGUAAUCCGGAUUUACUGGGUGUAAAGGGAGCGUAGACGGGAGCACAAGUCAGGAGUGAAAUGCCGGGGCUUAACCCCGGAACUGCUAUGGAAACUGUGCAGCUAGAGUGCAGGUGAGGUAGGUGGAAUUCCUGGUGUAGCGGUGAAAUGCGUAGAUAUUAGGAAGAACACCAAUGGCGAAGGCAGCUUACUAAACUGUAACUGACGUUGAGGCUCGAAAGCGUGGGGAGCAAACAGGAUUAGAUACCCCAGUAGUC
rnacentral:rRNA from 1 species